rnacentral:rRNA from 1 species
UAAUAGUCCUGUAUGUUAAACGAGAAGACUUCAGAUAUGAUCCAGAGUACCACGGGACACGUGAAACCCUGUGGGAAGCAGGAGGGACCACCCUCCAAGGCUAAAUACUACCUAGUGACCGAUAGCGUAUAGUACCGUGAGGGAAAGGUGAAAAGAACCCCGGGAGGGGAGUGAAAUAGAACCUGAAACCCUGCACUUACAAGCUGUGGAAGCACAUUUCUUGUGUGACCGCGUACUUUUUGUAGAACGGGCCAACGAGUUACGUUAAGUAGCAAGGUUAAGCACUUAAGGUGCGGAGCCGUAGCGAAAGCGAGUUUUAACUGAGCGUUCAGUUACUUGACGUAGACCCGAAACCGGGCGACCUACCCAUGAGCAGGAUGAAGCGAAAGUAAAAUUUCGUGGAGGUCCGAACCCACGAGCGUUGAAAAGCUCGGGGAUGACUUGUGGGUAGCGGUGAAAUUCCAAUCGAGCCCGGAGAUAGCUGGUUCUCCCCGAAAUAGCUUUAGGGCUAGCCUCAAGGUGAGAGAUACGGAGGUAGAGCACUGAAUGUCCUAGGGGGUAUUGCACCUACCGAAGACUAUCAAACUCCGAAUGCCGUCAUCUUAUACUUGGGAGUCAGACUGUGGGUGAUAAGAUUCAUAGUCGAAAGGGCAACAGCCCAGAUCGUCAGCUAAGGUCCCUAAAUGUAAGUUAAGUGGUAAAGGAUGUGGGAUUGCACAGACAACCAGGAUGUUGGCUUAGAAGCAGCCACUCAUUCAAAGAGUGCGUAAUAGCUCACUGGUCGAGUGAUCCUGCGCCGAAGAUUUCCGGGGCUAAAACUUACUACCGAAGCUACGGCAUCAGUAAUGAUGGGUAGGGGAGCUUCCCAUACGGGUUGAAGCAUGACCGUAAGGACAUGUGGACAGUAUGGGAGUGAGAAUGUUGGCAUGAGUAGCGAGAUGUGGGUGAGAAUCCCACAGGCCGUAAACCCAAGGUUUCCAGGGGAAGGUUCGUCCGCCCUGGGUUAGUCGGGACCUAAGCUGAGGCCGAAAGGCGUAGGUGAUGGACAACAGGUUGAUAUUCCUGUACUACCGAUAACCGUUUGAGAGAAGGGAUGACACAGUAGGAUAAGCUAAGCACACUGUUGGUUAUGUGUGCCCAAGCAUUGAGGCAGUCAAAGUAGGCAAAUCCGCUUUGAUAAUGCUGGGAUGUGAUGGGGAGCGAAAUUUAGUAGCGAAGUAGCUGAUUUCACACUGUCAAGAAAAGUCUCUAUCGAGGUUAAAGGUACCCGUACCGCAAACCGACACAGGUGGGUGAGGAGAGUAUCCUAAGGCCAGCGAGAGAACUGUUGUUAAGGAACUCGGCAAAAUGACCCCGUAACUUAGGGAUAAGGGGUGCCACCAUCAGGUGGCCGCAGAGAAUAGGCCCAAGCGACUGUUUACCAAAAACAUAGGUUUCUGCUAAGUCGCAAGACGAUGUAUAGGAGCUGACGCCUGCCCGGUGCUGGAAGGUUAAGGGGAUCUGUUAGAGCAAUCGAAGCAGUGAACUUAAGCCCCAGUAAACGGCGGCCGUAACUAUAACGGUCCUAAGGUAGCGAAAUUCCUUGUCGGGUAAGUUCCGACCCGCACGAAAGGCGUAACGAUUUGGGCACUGUCUCAACAACAGACUCGGUGAAAUUGUAAUUCCGGUGAAGAUGCCGGAUACCUGCGACAGGACGGAAAGACCCCAUGGAGCUU